GACGAACGCUGGCGGCGUGCUUAACACAUGCAAGUCGAACGGAAAGGCCCUGCUUUUGUGUGGUGCUCGAGUGGCGAACGGGUGAGUAACACGUGAGUAACCUGCCCUUGACUUUGGGAUAACUUCAGGAAACUGGGGCUAAUACCGGAUAGGAGCUCCUGCUGCAUGGUGGGGGUUGGAAAGUUUCGGCGGUUGGGGAUGGACUCGCGGCUUAUCAGCUUGUUGGUGGGGUAGUGGCUUACCAAGGCUUUGACGGGUAGCCGGCCUGAGUGGGUGACCGGCCACAUUGGGACUGAGAUACGGCCCAGACUCCUACGGGAGGCAGCAGUGGGGAAUAUUGUACAAUGGGCGGAAGCCUGAUGCGGCAACGCCGCGUGCGGGAUGACGGCCUUCGGGUUGUAAACCGCUUUCGCCUGUGACGAAGCGUGAGUGACGGUAAUGGGUAAAGAAGCACCGGCUAACUACGUG
rnacentral:rRNA from 1 species